rnacentral:lncRNA from 1 species
UGGGACGUAGGAUAAUGCAGGCUCAGGCAUGGAGGCCAUGAUUGAUGGUCUGGAGAAGGUCUCUUCCUCUGGGACAGGGUCUUCAGCCUUGAAGUCAAGGGAAGCAUCAUUGUAGACAUCCCACCAUUUCUGAACUAACAUCUUGAUAUCUUCUCUGUCCAUAUUAGCUUCUUUGCCUGUGUACCUCCAUGGUUUUGAUCCCUAUUUCAUUGAAUAAUACCAGAUAAAUGUCAUAAAAGUUAGCAAGGACUAUCGUUCAUUGCUGCCAAUAGAUAAAAAGCGUGCAUAUAUAGGGGAAUUGCAUACCGCAGCGCAGUAGUGAACCACUUUAACUUCAUCGAGUUCCACGUUCUCCGGAUGGCGCCAAAGCAUCGCUAGAACCAAAUUGUACGCCAAAGAAAUGGGUUUGUACGUAGUUUGGAAGAACAUGUUCAAGAAAUCCUGUUCCACAUCCAGGUAGAAAAAUUGUACCAUCAGUAUUUAAAACUUGGUCCGUGGUGCAUGAAGUAUGGAUUCUAGUUCUUGACCUUUUCUAACCGAAGUUAGAGCUACGAUUUUUACAAACCUAAACUCCAGAAGAACCUCCAAACCUAACCGAAGUAUGGAUUCUAGUUAAGACCACGGAAAAGGUAUUAAGUGGUAGUCAAAUUAGAUAGUCAAAGGAGAGAGAAUAAAUGGAUGUGGCCGCAAAGAUGUAUCAGACCUGCUCUGCAAAUAGUGUUGGCGGAGUGAUUUGGAGAGUUUCAAGCAGAUUUUCGUAGGUCAAACGGCUGGGCUCAAAGACAAACAUGCCAGCGUUGAAAUACAGAGGAGGAGGUGAACCCAUAUCAGCUGGCCAGGUAACUUUGUCCGGGCACUGUUGGCAAUAUCCAAUGGAGUACUGUGGGGAAUUACUCCAUGUCUUCUCGCAGAAGCAAUCCAUCACUGCAUAAAAGUAUCCAUCUGCUGCGUCAAACAGAUGGUCGAUGUUGUCAUAAACUUGGAUGUCUGCGUCUAGGUAGAUCAUCUUGCUGUACUCCUCAAACUGUCAUGACCACAGUUAUUUGAUUAGUCACUCCUAAUAGUAACCCAAAUAUGAUUGCUCUAAAAUACAAAACAGAAAUGCUAGAACGGCUUAAACAUAGAGCUGUGGAUUAAGGAUUACUGUAACAUAUUAUAGCAUCACUCCUGAUUAUAUAGAUAGAGUGUGGCGGUGAUGGUUUUUUUCUUUUAUUGUUGUGGUGAAAUAAUGAAAUUAGGAUAUAAAAGGAUAUUUUCUGGCUUUUGCGUUUCUCAGCCUUUGUCUUGGGGCUUCUUUGUUUCUUAAGGAAGAUUCUAUCUAUCAAGUGCAGGUCAAGCUUAACCUAAGCUGAUCCAAGUGACAUGGGCCAUAGAAGAUUUUGGCACACAAACAGGAAGCAGAAACAGAUACGCUUCACUGAGUCAUGAUACCAUAGGCAGGCAAUGGCUAUGCACACAUCUGGUAGACCUAUUAGACUAAGACUUGAAAUGUUUUUCAGGUUUACUUACGUUCCAUAUGCGGAGCUUGGAAUAAUUGAUGACAUAGUAAGCCAUAGCAAACUGAAUCUGAUUUUCAGGAGGGUAAAUGGGCUCAAUUUCACGAACAAUGCAACCCUGUGACCUUAAUAUUUCCCGAUGUUCCUCGGGAACAUCUGGGAGGAUGGCAACCACAAGGGGGU